rfam:Zootermopsis nevadensis contig34873, whole genome shotgun sequence.
AUACUUACCUGGCGUAGGGGUUACCGUGAUCCUGAAGGCGGUUCCCCCAGGGUGAGACCCUUCCAUUGCACUGCGGUUGGGUUGACCCCUGCGAUUGCCCCAAAUGUGGGUAACUCGGGCGCGUAAUUUUUGGUAGUCGGGACUGCGUUCGCGCUGUCCCGGU